rnacentral:rRNA from 1 species
UACAGAGGGUGCAAGCGUUAAUCGGAAUUACUGGGCGUAAAGGGUGCGUAGGUGGCUGAAUAAGUUAGGUGCGAAAGUCCUGGGCUUAACCUGGGAACUGCGCCUAAUACUGUUUAGCUAGAGUACUGUAGAGGAAGGUGGAAUUUCCAGUGUAGCGGUGAAAUGCGUAGAUAUUGGAAGGAACAUCGGUGGCGAAGGCGACCUUCUGGACAGAUACUGACACUGAGGCACGAAAGCGUGGGGAGCAAACAGG